UACGUAGGGUGCAAGCGUUGUCCGGAAUUACUGGGCGUAAAGCGUGCGUAGGUGGUUUGUUAAGUCGGAUGUGAAAGCCCUCGGCUCAACUGAGGAAGUGCACCCGAAACUGGCGAGCUUGAGUACGAAAGAGGAUCGCGGAAUUCCCGGUGUAGCGGUGGAAUGCGUAGAGAUCGGGAAGAAUACCCGUGGCGAAGGCGGCCAGCUGGGCCAGGUCCGACACUGAGGCGCGAAAGCGUGGGGAGCAAACAGG
rnacentral:rRNA from 1 species